AUGAACCGAACAAACACGGAUCUGUGUUCAGCGAUCCUGAUCGUGAUUGAGCUUGCCUCUUUUGCGUUUCGGUUGAUUGCUGGACAGUUCGACGCUCCAAGGAGGCACUAUUUUUUACGCUUGGUGUCACUAUUUUCCGGUCGACAGAUCUCAGAUUAAAUGUUGGCAUUGGGGUGUUCACUCUGGUCUUGAGCUCCUUCUGGUGAGCUCGGCUAGAGACCUCAGUGUCGACGGCGUCAUAUUCCUGUUCCCUUCACCGAUCUGGCCGUUGGCCGAUGAGGUUAGGGAGAAACCAUGGCUUGCCAACAUCA
rfam:Aspergillus sydowii CBS 593.65 ASPSYscaffold_1_Cont51, whole genome shotgun sequence.